rnacentral:lncRNA from 1 species
CAGGUCUACCUGCCACAACAGGACCAGUACAGCCUAAUACAAAGCAUUCAUCAGGGAGAAAACUCAAGGAGGAAAUAGUGUCCCAAAAGCCAUAAUGACAUCAAACAAUAGCAGUGUUCUUACAGCAUCAUAAGUGUGAGUUGUUCCUCUAUGAAUAUUCCCAUGGAAUGGUCCCUCAGGAAUGAUAUCUAUGCAUGGUAUCUCUCUCCCCACUCAUGGACUACCCUAUUGUGUGGAAGUGGAGUAAGGGCUUGCUUAGCCCUUUUCAAGGAUACUUACCCACCACUGGUGUCUACUUGCCACCCUAAUCCUGCCUGUGGCUUCAAGAAGCUGUCGUAUGAAAAGCAGCCAGACUCCAGCAAAAAGGCUAAACCAGCUAAUCAACAGGGAUUUAAACCUGUCACUGAGUUUGGAUUAUGUCUAUCUCAAGUACAUAAAGAAUUCCUCCAUUGAAAGAGACAGAUGAGAACAAUUUGUUCCAACAGCCCUGAGGGCAGCUCAAGCAAGUGAUUGGUCAGACAUCAAAGAUGCCAAGGUCAUCCAUAGCAUCCCAAGACAUCAUCAGUCAUCUUGACUUUUUUUUUUUUGACUGUGGAAGAGAGAAUAAGGCUGGUGACUUUGUUCAAUUCUGCCUCACUUAAAUCUAAUUCAUGAAAAAGUCAAACCAUGAUGUCACUAGUCCUUUUUGAAAAUGAAAAAACAACAAAACAAUACAACAUUGAGACCAA